GACGAACGCUGGCGGCGUGCUUAACACAUGCAAGUCGAACGGUAAGGCCCUUCGGGGUACACAAGUGGCGAACGGGUGAGCAACACGUGGGUGAUCUGCCCUGCACUUCGGGAUAAGCCUGGGAAACUGGGUCCAAUACCGGAUAGGACCACUGCCUGCAUGGGUGGUGGUGGAAAGCUUUUGCGGUGUGGGAUGGGCCCGCGGCCUAUCAGCUUGUUGGUGGGGUGAUGGCCUACCAAGGCGACGACGGGUAGCCGGCCUGAGAGGGUGACCGGCCACACUGGGAAUGAGAUACGGCCCAGACUCCUACGGGAGGCAGCAGUGGGGAAUAUUGCACAAUGGGCGCAAGCCUGAUGCAGCGACGCCGCGUGAGGGAUGACGGCCUUCGGGUUGUAAACCUCUUUCAGCACCGACGAAGCGCAAGUGACGGUAGGUGCAGAAGAAGGACCGGCCAACUACGUGCCAGCCGCCGCGGUAA
rnacentral:rRNA from 1 species